AGGACCCGUCUUGAAACACGGGCCNGGGAGUCUAGCAUAUUUGCAAGUCAUAGAGUUUAAGAAAAACUCUUGGGCACAAUUAACGUAAAGGGUGUGUGUGUUUCUCACACACACACCAAGGGAAGAUGAGUAGUGGAUAUUUAAAUACUAUUUCGCACUCCUGGGGCGUUCCGUACAAGUUUUAUUAUGUAUGUUUUAAAAUUUGGGGCGCACCAAGAGCAUAUACGCUAGGACCCGAAAGAUGGUGAACUAUGC
rnacentral:rRNA from 1 species